rnacentral:rRNA from 1 species
AGCGAACGCUGGCGGCAGGCUUAACACAUGCAAGUCGAGCGCCCCGCAAGGGGAGCGGCCGACGGGUGAGUAACACGUGGGAACGUACCCUUUGGUUCGGAACAACCCAGGGAAACUUGGGCUAAUACCGGAUAAGUCCGCGAGGAGAAAGAUUUAUCGCCGAAGGAUCGGCCCGCGUCUGAUUAGCUAGUUGGUGUGGUAACGGCGCACCAAGGCGACGAUCAGUAGCUGGUCUGAGAGGAUGAUCAGCCACACUGGGACUGAGACACGGCCCAGACUCCUACGGGAGGCAGCAGUGGGGAAUAUUGGACAAUGGGGGCAACCCUGAUCCAGCCAUGCCGCGUGAGUGAUGAAGGCCCUAGGGUUGUAAAGCUCUUUCGGUGGGGAAGAUAAUGACGGUACCCACAGAAGAAGCCCCGGCUAACUUCGUG